rnacentral:tRNA from 1 species
AGGGAUUUAUUUUAAUUUAAAAUAUUUGUUUUGCAUACAAAAGAUUUUAUCUCUG